GCAAUCGACCAUAGGAUGAGUCAAUGCAGGACUUCCCGUUCGCUCAGUCAUACUGAAGCCUCAUGCCGGUAGGUUAGUAGUUGGGUUCGUGAGAACCAGCGAAUCCCUACUGUUGAUUGUU
rfam:Exophiala sideris strain CBS 121828 unplaced genomic scaffold supercont1.1, whole genome shotgun sequence.